UCCGGUUUGUCACCGGCAGUCUGGCGUGAGUCCCCAACUUAAUGCUGGCAACACGCCACGGGGGUUGCGCUCGUUGCGGGACUUAACCCAACAUCUCACGACACGAGCUGACGACAGCCAUGCAGCAUCUGUGCACGGGCUCCGAAGAGCGACCCUGAUCUCUCAGGAUCUUCCCGUGCAUGUCAAGCCCAGGUAAGGUUCUUCGCGUUGCGUCGAAUUAAACCACAUGCUCCACCGCUUGUGCGGGCCCCCGUCAAUUCCUUUGAGUUUCAGCCUUGCGGCCGUACUCCCCAGGCGGGGCACUUAAUGCGUUAGCUACGGCACGGAUUCCGUGGAAGGAACCCACACCUAGCGCCCACCGUUUACGGCGUGGACUAC
rnacentral:misc_RNA from 1 species